AUGGCUUGGUCACCUCUCCUUGGCGUGCACGCGGUCGUCCAUGAUGACGGACAUGGAGUUGAGCACCUCCACGUCGAUGGUGGUACCCGCCUCGAGGUCGACGACGUCCAUCUUGCGGAUGCACUGGAAUGCUCCCUCGCAGCAGAGCGCGGCGAGGUAGGCGCCGACGAAGCCGUGCCCGUGCGUGUCCUUGCCAAUGCGCUCGAGGUCGACGUCGUCCGAGAAGCGCAUGUCCUUGGAGUGGAUGCGGAGGAUUUAGAGGCGGCCGACAUCGUCGGGCACGCAGAUGUAGAUCUUGAUUUAGGGUUGCGUGGAGCAAAGCCUCCACAUAUCUCGUAUAUAUAUAAGACCAACAAUACAGAGUUAGAUUACAAUACGGCAGGUAUAAACCGUUUCCAACACAUCCCCUCAAUCUGA
rnacentral:rRNA from 1 species